GUGUACAAAUGUAAUUACCGUGAUUUGGCGAGUAUGACAGCAGGCUCAUGGGUCACGCGCCUCUAUCAUGUUUAUAUCACGCGCAAAUACCGUGUACAAAUGUAAUUACCGUGACUCGGCGAGUAUGACAGCAGGCUCAUGGGUCACGCGCCUCUAUCAUGUGUAUAUCACGUGCAAAUACCGUGUACAAAUGUAAUUACCGUGACUCGGCGAGUAUGACAGCAGGCUCAUGGGUCACGCGCCUCUAUCAUGUUUAUAUCACGCGCAAAUACCGUGUACAAAUGUAAUUACCGUGACUCGGCGAGUGUGACAGGUUCAUGGAUCACGCGCCUCUAUCAUGUUUAUAUCACGUGCAAAUACCGUGUACAAAUGUAAUUACCGUGACUCGGCGAGUAUGACAGCAGGCUCAUGGGUCACGCGCCUCUAUCAUGUUUAUAUCACGCGCAAAUACCGUGUACAAAUGUAAUUACCGUGAUUCGGCGAGUAUGACAGCAGGCUCAUGGAUCACGCGCCUCUAUCAUGUUUAUAUCACGUGCAAAUACCGUGUACAAAUGUAAUUACCGUGAUUCAGCGAGUAUAACAGCAGGCUCAUGGGUCACGCGCCUCUAUCAUGUUUAUAUCACGUGCAAAUACCGUGUACAAAUGUAAUUACCGUGACUCGGCGAGUAUGACAGCAGGCUCAUGGGUCACGCGCCUCUAUCAUGUUUAUAUCACGCGCAAAUACCGUGUACUAAUGUAAUUACCGUGAUUCGGCGAGUAUGACAGCAGGCUCAUGGAUCACGCGCCUCUAUCAUGUUUAUAUCACGUGCAAAUACCGUGUACAAAUGUAAUUACCGUGAUUUGGCGAGUAUGACAGCAGGCUCAUAGAUCACGCGCCUCUAUUAUGUUUAUAUCACGCGCAAAUACCGUGUACAAAUGUAAUUACCGUGAUUCGGCGAGUAUGACAGCAGGCUCAUGGAUCACGCGCCUCUCAUGUUUAUAUCACGUGCAAAUACCGUGUACAAAUGUAAUUACCGUGACUCGGCGAGUAUGACAGCAGGCUCAUGGGUCACGCGCCUCUAUCAUGUUUAUAUCACGUGCAAAUACCGUGUACAAAUGUAAUUACCGUGACUCGGCGAGUAUGACAGCAGGCUCAUGGGUCACGCGCCUCUAUCAUGUUUAUAUCACGUGCAAAUACCGUGUACAAAUGUAAUUACCGUGAUUCGGCGAGUAUGACAGCAGGCUCAUAGAUCACGCGCCUCUAUUAUGUUUAUAUCACGCGCAAAUACCGUGUACAAAUGUAAUUACCGUGAUUCGGCGAGUACGACAGCAGGCUCAUGGAUCACGCGCCUCUAUCAUGUUUAUAUCACGCGCAAAUACCGUGUACAAAUGUAAUAACCGUGACUCGGCGAGUAUAACAGCAGUCUCAUGGAUCACGCGCCUCUAUUAUGUUUAUAUCACGCGCAAAUACCGUGUACAAAUGUAAUUACCGUGAUUCGGCGAGUACGACAGCAGGCUCAUGGAUCACGCGCCUCUAUCAUGUUUAUAUCACGCGCAAAUACCGUGUACAAAUGUAAUAACCGUGACUCGGCGAGUAUAACAGCAGUCUCAUGGAUCACGCGCCUCUAUUAUGUUUAUAUCACGCGCAAAUACCGUGUACAAAUGUAAUUACCGUGAUUCGGCGAGUACGACAGCAGGCUCAUGGAUCACGCGCCUCUAUCAUGUUUAUAUCACGUGCAAAUACCGUGUACAAAUGUAAUUACCGUGACUCGGCGAGUAUGACAGCAGGCUCAUGGGUCACGCGCCUCUAUCAUGUUUAUAUCACGUGCAAAUACCGUGUACAAAUGUAAUUACCGUGACUCGGCGAGUAUGACAGCAGGCUCAUGGGUCACGCGCCUCUAUCAUGUUUAUAUCACGCGCAAAUACCGUGUACAAAUGUAAUUACCGUGACUCGGCGAGUGUGACAGGUUCAUGGAUCACGCGCCUCUAUCAUGUUUAUAUCACGUGCAAAUACCGUGUACAAAUGUAAUUACCGUGACUCGGCGAGUAUGACAGCAGGCUCAUGGGUCACGCGCCUCUAUCAUGUUUAUAUCACGCGCAAAUACCGUGUACAAAUGUAAUUACCGUGAUUCGGCGAGUAUGACAGCAGGCUCAUGGAUCACGCGCCUCUAUCAUGUUUAUAUCACGUGCAAAUACCGUGUACAAAUGUAAUUACCGUGAUUCAGCGAGUAUAACAGCAGGCUCAUGGGUCACGCGCCUCUAUCAUGUUUAUAUCACGUGCAAAUACCGUGUACAAAUGUAAUUACCGUGACUCGGCGAGUAUGACAGCAGGCUCAUGGGUCACGCGCCUCUAUCAUGUUUAUAUCACGCGCAAAUACCGUGUACUAAUGUAAUUACCGUGAUUCGGCGAGUAUGACAGCAGGCUCAUGGGUCACGCGCCUCUAUCAUGUUUAUAUCACGUGCAAAUACCGUGUACAAAUGUAAUUACCGUGAUUCGGCGAGUAUGACAGCAGGCUCAUAGAUCACGCGCCUCUAUUAUGUUUAUAUCACGCGCAAAUACCGUGUACAAAUGUAAUUACCGUGACUCGGCGAGUAUGACAGCAGGCUCAUGGGUCACGCGCCUCUCAUGUUUAUAUCACGUGCAAAUACCGUGUACAAAUGUAAUUACCGUGACUCGGCGAGUAUGACAGCAGGCUCAUGGGUCACGCGCUUCUAUCAUGUUUAUAUCACGCGCAAAUACCGUGUACAAAUGUAAUUACCGUGACUCGGCGAUUAUGACAGCAGGCUCAUGGGUCACGCGCCUCUAUCAUGUUUAUAUCACGUGCAAAUACCGUGUACAAAUGUAAUUACCGUGACUCGGCGAGUAUGACAGCAGGCUCAUGAGUCACGCGCCUCUAUCAUGUUUAUAUCACGCGCAAAUACCGUGUACAAAUGUAAUAACCGUGACUCGGCGAGUAUAACAGCAGUCUCAUGGAUCACGCGCCUCUAUCAUGUUUAUAUCACGUGCAAAUACCGUGUACAAAUGUAAUUACCGUGACUCGGCGAGUAUGACAGCAGGCUCAUGGGUCACGCGCCUCUAUCAUGUUUAUAUCACGCGCAAAUACCGUGUACAAAUGUAAUUACCGUGACUCGGCGAGUAUGACAGCAGGCUCAUUGGUCACGCGCCUCUAUCAUGUUUAUAUCACGUGCAAAUACCGUGUACAAAUGUAAUUACCGUGACUCGGCGAGUAUGACAGCAGGCUCAUGGGUCACGCGCCUCUAUCAUGUUUAUAUCACGCGCAAAUACCGUGUACAAAUGUAAUUACCGUGACUCGGCGAGUAUAACAGCAGGUUCAUGGAUCACGCGCCUCUAUCAUGUUUAUAUCACGUGCAAAUACCGUGUACAAAUGUAAUUACCGUGACUCGGCGAGUAUGACAGCAGGCUCAUGGGUCACGCGCCUCUAUCAUGUUUAUAUCACGCGCAAAUACCGUGUACAAAUGUAAUUACCGUGAUUCGGCGAGUAUGACAGCAGGCUCAUGGAUCACGCGCCUCUAUCAUGUUUAUAUCACGUGCAAAUACCGUGUACAAAUGUAAUUACCGUGAUUCAGCGAGUAUAACAGCAGGCUCAUGG